GGAGUUAGCCGGUGCUUCUUCUGUGAGUGAUGUCCUUCCUGCCGGCUAUUAACCCGCAGGCCUUCUUCCUCACUGAAAGUGCUUUACAACCCGAAGGCCUUCUUCACACACGCGGCAUGGCUGGAUCAGGGUUGCCCCCAUUGUCCAAUAUUCCCCACUGCUGCCUCCCGUAGGAGUCUGGGCCGUGUCUCAGUCCCAGUGUGGCUGAUCAUCCUCUCAGACCAGCUACGGAUCGUCGCCUUGGUGAGCCGUUACCUCACCAAACAGCUAAUCCGACAUAGGCUCAUCCGAUAGCGCGAGGCCCGAAGGUCCCCCGCUUUCCCCCGUAGGGCGUAUGCGGUAUUAGCCUGGGUUUCCCCAGGUUAUCCCCCACUACCGGGCAGAUUCCUAUGCAUUACUCACCCGUCCGCCGCUCGCCACCAGGGAGCAAGCUCCCCGUGCUGCCGCUCGACUUGCAUGUGUUAGGCCUGCCGCCAGCGUUCAAUCUGAGCCAGAAUCGAACCCUGA
rnacentral:rRNA from 1 species